rnacentral:rRNA from 1 species
UGGGGAAUUUUGGACAAUGGGCGAAAGCCUGAUCCAGCAAUGCCGCGUGAGUGAAGAAGGCCUUCGGGUUGUAAAGCUCUUUCAAUCGAGAAGAAAAAAUUAUGACUAAUAAUCAUGAUUAAUGACGGUAUCGAUAGAAGAAGCACCGGCUAACUACGUGCCAGCAGCCGCGGUAAUACGUAGGGUGCAAGCGUUAAUCGGAAUUACUGGGCGUAAAGGGUGCGCAGGCGGUUUUGUAAGUCAGAUGUGAAAUCCCCGGGCUUAACCUGGGAAUUGCGUUUGAAACUACAAAACUGGAGUGUAGCAGAGGGAGGUGGAAUUUCAUGUGUAGCAGUGAAAUGCGUAGAGAUAUGGAAGAACAUCGAUGGCGAAGGCAGCCUCCUGGGUUAACACUGACGCU